CAUGGUUGUCGUCAGCUCGUGUCGUGAGAUGUUGGGUUAAGUCCCGCAACGAGCGCAACCCUUGAUCUUAGUUGCCAGCAUUUAGUUGGGCACUCUAAGGUGACUGCCGGUGACAAACCGGAGGAAGGUGGGGAUGACGUCAAAUCAUCAUGCCCCUUAUGACCUGGGCUACACACGUGCUACAAUGGAUGGUACAAAGGGCUGCAAGACCGCGAGGUCAAGCCAAUCCCAUAAAACCAUUCUCAGUUCGGAUUGUAGGCUGCAACUCGCCUACAUGAAGCUGGAAUCGCUAGUAAUCGCGGAUCA
rnacentral:rRNA from 1 species